CCAGGACCCUCGACACUGGUGUCAUCUGACUUAAGACUGGUCUCAUUCUGUCACCUAGGCUGGAGUGCAGUGGUGCCAUCAUGGCUCGCUCCAGCCUUGACCUCCUGGGCUCAAGCAAUCCUCCCAUCUCAGCUUCUCAAGUAGCUGGGACUACCGCACAUGCCACUGCACCUGGUUAAUUUUUAAUUUUUUUGUAGAGAUGGAGUCUCUCUAUGUUGCCCAGGCUGAUUUCAAACUCCUGGGCUCAAGCAGUUCUCCCGUCUUGGCCUCCAAAGGUGCUAGCAUUACAGAUGUGAGCCAUUGCACCCAGCCAAUAGAUCAUUUUAAAUGCAUCUUCAAGAAUGGUUCUAAAGCUUUAGAACCAUAUAAUUUGUUCAAAUUGUUUUUUGUUGCUAUAAAGCCUCAAGGUUGACCAACACUUAAAACACUAUGAUACAGAGUAGGAGAAAAUAUUUGCAAAAGACAUAUCUGAUAAAGGACAGCUAUCCAAAAUAUGCAGAGUAUUAGAACUCAAGAAUAAGAAAAGGAACAACCUGGACAGACACCUCACCAAAAAGAAAAGACCCGGACAGACACCUCACCAAAGAAGACAUGUGGACGGCAAAUAUGCAUGUGUAAGGAUCCUGAAAAUGAUAUGGCAUUAGGAAAUUGCAAAUUAAAGCCACAAUGAGAUACUGUUACACACUUAUUAUAAUGGCCAAAAUCUAAAACACUGACAACAAAUGCUGAAGAGAAUGUGCAACAAUAGGAACUUUCAUUCAUUGCUGGUGGGAAUGCAAAAUGGUACAGCUACUUUGGAAGACAGCUGGGCAAUUUCUUACAAAACUAAACAUACUUUUACCAUACACUCCAACAAUAGUGCUCUUUGGUAUUUACUCAAAUGAGUUGAAAACCUGUGUCUACACAAAAACCUGCACACUGAUAUUUAUAACAGCUUUGUUCAUAAUUGCCAAAAUUUAGAAGCAAUCAAGAUGUCUUUCUCUAGGUGAAUGGGUAAAUAAACUGUGGUACAUCCAGAAAACAGAAUAUUAUUCAAAACUAAAAUGAAAUGAACUAUCAAGCCAUGAAAAGACAUGGGGAAAACUUAAAUGCAUAUUGCUAAGUGAAAGAAGCCAAUCUUAAAAGGCUAUAUACUGUAUGAUUCUAACUAUAUGACAUUCUGCAAAACACAGAACUAUAGAGGUAGUAAAAAGAACAGUACUUGCCAGGGGUUAAGGAGGAGUGAGAGAUAAGUAGAUGGAACACAGAGGAUUUUUUAGAACAGUGAAACUAUUGUUUAUGAUACUAUAAUUGUGGAUACAUGUCAUUAUACAUUUGUCCAAAGCCAUAGAAUAUACAACAUCAAGAAUGAACUCUAAUGUAAGCUAUGGAUUUGGGGUCAUAAAUGUGUAUAAAUGUAGGUUUGUUGAUUGUAACAAAUGUACCACUCUCUUGUAUGAGGCUGAUAGUCGGGGAGGCUAUGUGUGUGUGUCAGGGGGUGCAGAGUAUAGAUGGGAACACCCUCUACUUUGUACUCAAUUUUGCUGUGAACCUAAAACUUCUCUGAAAGAUAAAUUUUAUUUUGAAAAACAC
rnacentral:lncRNA from 10 species